GAUGAACGCUGGCGGCGUGCCUAAUACAUGCAAGUCGAACGCACAGCGAAAGGUGCUUGCACCUUUCAAGUGAGUGGCGAACGGGUGAGUAACACGUGGACAACCUGCCUCAAGCCUGGGGAUAACAGCUGGAAACAGAUGCUAAUACCGAAUAAAACUCAGUGUCGCAUGACACAAGGUUAAAAGGAGCUUUGACGUCACCUAGAGAUGGAUCCGCGGUGCAUUAGUUAGUUGGUGGGGGAAAGGCCUACCAAGACAAUGAUGCAUAGCGGAGUUGAGAGACUGACCGGCCACAUUGGGACUGAGACACGGCCCAAACGCCUACGGGAGGCUGCAGUAGGGAAUCUUCCACCAUGGGCGAAAGCCUGAUGGAGCAACGACGCGUGUGUGAUGAAGGCUUUGGGGUCGUAAAGCACUGUUGUAUGGGAAGAACAGCUAGAAUAGGGAAUGAUUUUAGUUUGACGGUACCAUACCAGAAAGGGACGGCUAAAUACGUGCCAGCAGCCGCCGUAA
rnacentral:rRNA from 1 species